rnacentral:rRNA from 1 species
ACCUAGUCCCACCACGCCCCCAAGGGUAUUCAGCAGUGAUAAAUCUUGACCAUAAGCGCCAGCUUGAAUCAGUUAAAGAGAAGAGGGCCGGCCAACAUGGUGCCAGCCGCCGCGGCUAGACCAAUGGGCCCAAAUUGAUAACAUUCGGCGUUAAGCGUGAUUAAGGCUAACCCAUAAUUAGAGUGAAACUUAUACUAAGCCGUGAAAAAGCACACAAUAAGGAACCCCAAAAACGAAAGUACUCUAAUCCUGCUGAACACACGACAGCUAGAGAACAACUUGGGAUUAGAUACCCCACUAUGUCUAGCCGUAAAAUAUCAACUCACACCUAAGGCGCCCGGGAAUUACGAGCAAUGCUUAAAACCCAAAGGACUUGACGGUGUCCCAGCCAACUAGAGGAGCCUGUUCUAUAAUGCGAUGACCCGCGUUUCACCUCACCCCCCCUUGCCCCCACAGUCUGUAUACUUCCGUCGCAGGCCCGCCACUUGAGUGACCCCCCCAGCGGGCUCAACGGCCUUAAUCGCCAAUACGUCAGGUCAGGGUGCAGCCCACGGGAGGGGAAGUAAUGGGCUACAAUUUCUAAUCUGGACCAAACGAAUUACUGCAUGAAACACAGUCAUGAAGGAGGUUUUAGUAGUAAAAAGAAAUAGCACAUUCUUUUAACACGGCCUGGGAGGUGUACACA